UACGAAGGGGGCUAGCGUUGUUCGGAAUCACUGGGCGUAAAGGGCUCGUAGGCGGCUUUUCAAGUCGGGGGUGAAAGCCUGUGGCUCAACCACAGAAUUGCCUUCGAUACUGUUAGGCUUGAGACCGGAAGAGGUGAGUGGAACUGCGAGUGUAGAGGUGAAAUUCGUAGAUAUUCGCAAGAACACCAGUGGCGAAGGCGGCUCACUGGUCCGGUUCUGACGCUGAGGCGCGAAAGCGUGGGGAGCAAACAGG
rnacentral:rRNA from 1 species